AUCAGUGGUUAUAGCAAGAGGGAUCACCUGAAUCCAUUCCGAACUCAGUAGUUAAGCCUCUUAGU
rnacentral:rRNA from 1 species